UACGUAGGGGCAAGCGUUGUCCGGAAUCAUUGGCGUAAAGCGCGUGUAGGCGCCAGAAAAGUCCGCUGUGAAAACUCGAGGCUCAACUUCGAGCUGUCGGUGGAAACUUUCUGGCUAGAGUCCGGAAGAGGAGAAUGGAAUUCCUGGUGUAGCGGUGAAAUGCGCAGAUAUCAGGAGGAACACCAAUAGCGAAGGCAGCUCGCUGGGACGUUACUGACACUGAGGCGCGAAAGCGUGGGGAGCGAACAGG
rnacentral:rRNA from 1 species